rnacentral:rRNA from 1 species
CCUACGGGUGAGCUGCAGUGAGGAAUAUAGGUCAAUGGCCGGAAGGCUGAACCAGCCAAGCCGCGUGAAGGACGAAGGUGCCAAGCAUUGUAAACUUCUUUUGUCAAGGGACAAAAUCAGGCUCGAGAGCCUGACCGAGGGUACUUGAAGAAAAAGCAUCGGCUAACUCCGUGCCAGCAGCCGCGGUUAUACGGGGGAUGCGAGCGUUAUCCGGUUUUAUGGGGUUAAAGGAGUGCGUAGGCGGGCUGUUAAGUCAGCGGUAAAAUCCCGGGGCGAAACCCCGGCGAGCAGUUGAAAAUGGCUGUCUUGAGAUGUCGAGAGGUAUGCGGAAUGCGCAGUGUAGCGGUGAAAUGCUUAGAUAUUGCGCAGAACUCCGAUUGCGAAGGCAGCAUACCGGCGGCGAUCUGACGCUGAGGCACGAAAGCGUGGGUAUCGAACAGGAUUAGAUACCCCUGUAGUC